rnacentral:lncRNA from 1 species
AUUACAGAAAAAAGUUGUCUAGUUCUUGAGAGAGAGAUGGGAAGCUUAAAUUAGCUUUAUCUUCUGUAUUCAAUUCUUUCAUUUCCAUCCUCUCAUCAAACUCUACAGCUUCAUUAUACCAUAACCGACAUCAUUAUGGAAUUAUUUAGAUUGGAGAAAAGCGUUUCAGUUCAAUUUAUAGUACAUGGAUUUUGCAAGUACUGCACUUGAGAAUAUUAUACCAGAGGAAGAAAGUAAAUUUCUUGUUGGAAAUCCAGUAAUGGCUUCCGAUAAAGGCAACAAUCACUCUACACAACUAGUCUUGGACAAAAACCAUCAGCAGCAAAAUCAUCAGAUGCAACAGCAGAUUAUUUAUGAUUAUCAGAGGCAGAAUAUGAUCAUAACAGUAAAGGUAAGUUACGUCUCUUAGGAAAAAAAAUUCAGAAAAUUGUGAGGUCAUUUGACCUUCAUAUGACUCCAUGUGGGUUCACCCCUGCCUCCAUGUGAGAUUUCUGUAUUAAUUCUGUAAAUUUUAUUUUUGUACAAAUGGAAUAAUAGAGAUUAUUAUCAAGUAUAAAAAGUGUUAACUAAUGAAAAGUUUGAAGAUAAAAAUGAUAGAAAAGAUCAUUAGAAACAUAAG